AUGGUUGUCGUCAGCUCGUGCCGUGAGGUGUCGGCUUAAGUGCCAUAACGAGCGCAACCCUUAUCGAUAGUUACCAUCAGGUUAUGCUGGGGACUCUGUCGAGACUGCCGUCGUAAGAUGUGAGGAAGGUGGGGAUGACGUCAAAUCAGCACGGCCCUUACGUCCGGGGCUACACACGUGUUACAAUGGGGGGUACAGAAGGCAGCUACACGGCGACGUGAUGCUAAUCCCGAAAGCCUCUCUCAGUUCGGAUUGGAGUCUGCAACCCGACUCCAUGAAGCUGGAUUCGCUAGUAAUCGCGCAUCAGCCACGGCGCGGUGAAUACGUUCCCGGGCCUUGUACACACCGCCCGUCAAGCCAUGAAAGCCGGGGGUACCUGAAGUGCGUAACCGCAAGGAGCGCCCUAGGGUAAAACUGGUGAUUGGGGCUAAGUCGUAACAAGGUAGCCGUACCGGAAGGUGCGGCUGGAUCACCUC
rnacentral:rRNA from 1 species